rnacentral:rRNA from 1 species
GCGAGCGAAGCGGGAAGAGCUCAAAUUUAUAAUCUGGCACCUUCGGUGUCCGAGUUGUAAUCUCUAGAAAUGUUUUCCGCGUUGGACCGCACACAAGUCUGUUGGAAUACAGCGGCAUAGUGGUGAGACCCCCGUAUAUGGUGCGGACGCCCAGCGCUUUGUGAUACAUUUUCGAAGAGUCGAGUUGUUUGGGAAUGCAGCUCAAAUUGGGUGGUAAAUUCCAUCUAAAGCUAAAUAUUGGCGAGAGACCGAUAGCGAACAAGUACCGUGAGGGAAAGAUGAAAAGCACUUUGGAAAGAGAGUUAACAGUACGUGAAAUUGUUGGAAGGGAAACGCUUGAAGUCAGACUUGCUUGCUGAGCAAUCGGUUUGCAGGCCAGCAUCAGUUUUCCGGGAUGGAUAAUGGUAGAGAGAAGGUAGCAGUUUCGGCUGUGUUAUAGCUCUCUGCUGGAUACAUCUUGGGGGACUGAGGAACGCAGUGUGCCUUUGGCGGGGGUUUCGACCUCUUCACACUUAGGAUGCUGGUGGAAUGGCUUUAAACGACCCGUCUU